UAGGUUUUAUAUAUAUGAAAAACUAAAAAAAAGAACAAAUUAUUAUGUCCGGACGAAAUGAAAGGCAUCAAAUUUGAAAUCUAAAUACGACCUACUAUCAAUAUUGAGUAAUGAGCUCAACAAUGAUAUCACAAUAUGAAUACUAACUAUACUAAGCAAAAGAUGCCUACGAAAUCCCUUGUCUUCAUGCAUUAGCAGUACUGUCUCCAUGAUAUGAAGGAAAAUGUCCUUCCAAUGAUGUGGUAGUUUCUGAAUAUGAAUCAAUCUAUCCACAAAAACUCUAGCUUGUUCCAUGUCAUGCCAACAUAUGAACUAGUGCUCCAUUCUCGUCAACAACUGCUCUCUUGCUUCAUUUUUGUUCUCCCUUUUGCUUGCUUUCUUCCUGAUCACCAUUGACUUCCUUUUGUGAGUUCUUUCCUUGGAUGCCCUGCUUAGUUGUUGUGCCUGUAUGUAGCCCCAUCUUCUUUCAAGAUUUUCUGCUAAGUGUAGCCAGUUAUGCCUUGUUACUUGCAAAUCCCAAACCUGCUCUAUAAUUGUAUAUUUAAGCCCCGUUUCACGACUGAACUCUGUGUAUUUGCUUGAACCUUUUGCAUGAUUUGAUCCCUGAGUUAUAGUAGUGUAUAAUUGUAUUUGGCAUUUGUUCCAAACGACAGCUACAUUACCCAGAAAUCGUAUCCAAAACCAGCCUGUUACUGAUACGUUGGUUGAAACUGGGCAGGAGUUUUGCCCAUCGAUAGUGUUAUAAUUAAAAUAUAUUAUUAACACUUUGUUUUUUUUUUUGUAUUCAUUAUUAGGCCUUUUUAUUUAAUCAAAAUUAUUUACCAUAAGAAAAUAAUUAUCUUUGUUAAAAAGUGACAAUUAAUUUUUAAAAACUAUAUUAUUUCCUUGUGCGAUCUUAACAUUAGGAAUAUACUAAUUUUUCUUCCAAAUUUUAAGUUUUUUAUUAUUUCAACAAGUGAUAGAAAAUAGUUUUUGGGAGAAAACAGAUAGAAAAACACGGGUGGUAGUACUGACUCUCAGUUGAUUGGCGCCAAUGAUUGAUUUAUCGACAACAGUGUAGGUCGGGAGCCUCACGCAACAUUGUUGUUUUUAGCCUCCAUUGUUGCUUCAUAUAGAAAGCUUGGAGCUAAACGUAGAAGAAACUGAUGCAAUUUUGGGAUUUACAAUGAAAACAACGAAAGAGAAAGAAAGGAAUGCAACAGUGAGAAUGGGACGUAUGAAGCGAAGCCAGCUGUCCCACGAGAAUUAAGCUAGAAACGCAUGUAUUUGGAAAGGUAGGUAAACCAUUAUAAAUAGAAGCAAUUGACAGUUUUAACCUCUGUCAUAUCAGUAACCUUCAUUUUAAUAUAGUCAAAAUUUUCAAAUAUUAACUUUAUCUAGUAUUUUAGAACUUUAGAUUUGUAACGAUCCGACCCAUCGUUUUGAGCAUUCGCAUUUUGCUCGAUUAUUUAAGGGCAUGAGUAACUCCGUAUGAAGUAUUAUGACUUAUGUGGAUCGUCGGUUUUGAUUUUCAGGUUAUUCAAAAUUCAAGUUGGAAGAAUGAUUCUCAGCUAGAAGCUUUAAAUAUGAAAGAUUUGACCAAGUUUGACCUUUUAGUAUUUGGCUUCGGAUUGGAUUUAUGAUGGUUUUGUUGGCUUCGUUGGGUAUUUUGGACUUAGAGGCACGCCCGGAUCGUGAUUUGGAGGUCCGUAGUGGAAUUUGGCUUGAAAUGGCGGAAGUUGAAAUUUUGAAAAAGUUUGACCGGAAGUGGACUUUUUGAUAUCGGGGUCGGAAUGAAAUUCCGAAAGAUGGAGUAGGUUCAUAGUGUCAUUUAUGACUUGUGUGCAAAAUUUGAGGUCAUUCAGACGUGGUUUAGCAGGUUUCAGCAUCGUUUGCGGAAUUGAAAGUUUAGAAGUUCUUAGGCUUGAAUACGAGUGUAAUUUGGUGUUUUGAUGUUAUUUUUGGGUAAUUCGAAGAUUCGACUAAGUUCGUAUGUUGAUAUAUGACUUGUUGGUAUGAUUGGGUGAGGUCCCGAGGGCCUCGGGUGUGUUUCGAGUGGUUGAUUUAUGCUAUGAUUGGCUCAUUGAUUUAUGUCAUGAUUGGCUUAAUAUAGCGCUUAGGCUGAAGGAGCCCCUCCGGAGUCUGUACACACCUCCAAUGAGCGCAGGUACCUACUGAGUGUGAGUCCUGAGUGCCGAGUGACUGGGAGGCAUGAGUGAUGGUGAGGUUUGCCCGAGGAGCUGUAUAUGAGUGAUGGUGAGGUUUGCCUGAGGGGCUGUAUAUGAGUGAUGUUUUCCCGAGGGGUUGUAUAUGAGUGAUGUUUUCCCGAGGAGUUGUAUAUGAGUGAUGUUUGCCCGAGGGGUCGUAUAUGAGUGAUGUUUACCCAAGGGGUUGUUUAUGAUUUUAUCAUUUUGCUCACUUUUGCACUGAACCUUUGUUCGAGAAUUGUUCAAAGAUGUUUUUAAAUAAUUUUACUGGAACUGGAUUUAAACAAGCCGAUUUAAUUCAAACUAUGGUUUUAAAAGCAUGCCGUAUUUUACUGAGUUUCCGUGAUAUGAACUUUAGCAUUACUGUUCAUCACUACUUCUCAGCCUUUAUUUACUGUUGUUACUUACUGAGUUGGCAUACUCACGUUACUCUCUGCACCUUGUGUGCAGAUCCAGGCAUUUCUGGACAUGGUAGCGGGUGUUGAUUAUUUAGUUGUAGAUUCAUCGGAGUUAGCAAGGUAGUUGCCUGAUGAUCGUAGCCCUGCUUUCCUUCCUCUUUAUCUUCCCUUAGUUAUAAUCAAUUAUUUCCAGACUAUGUUAGUCUUGAUAUCGUCAGACGGUUGUAGUAGAUGCUCAUGGCUAGUGACACCCCGAUGUCGGGAUUUCUUUUCCGCACUUUUGUUUUAAUUUGAACUCCUUUAUGAAGGGUUUAUAUUAAAUAGCUUGGG
rnacentral:lncRNA from 1 species